CAAGUGGCCAUUUGACCUGUAAGCAAAGACAAUCUAAGUUUUAAGGCUGUCUACAUUAAUUUGAAUUGAAGUUCAUGUACUAUAAUUCAAACACAUGAUACAUUUUAUAUUCUUUUUAGAUGCAUCAUUCAAUUAUUCCUUGUGGUGGAAAGCCUGCUGUGGAACGCUGCACAACAUGCUGCAGUUAGUUCCACUGCACCCUUUGUGAUCUUUUUUCCAACUGUACUGCAAUCGUGGGGUCACUUUAAAGAACAUGCCAUUCACAAGGAAGAAGAGCAGCAGGCUGAGGUCUCAGUCAGACCUGCUGAUGUGGACACACCAGUGGAAGGGGACUCGUUUGAAGAUCACAUUCUUCAUGAUUGCAGACAUGCAGCAGAGUGGGUUGAGGCCAACAAACAACUGUUGACUGCCAAAGUGGACCUGUCUGAUAUGGACCAGGCUGAGGCUGCUCUGCAGCAUGUAAGGGUGUGGAAAGAUGAAGUGUAUGAGCAUGAAAAGGAAGCUAU